AGUUCCAGAGAAGACUUCGUGAUACCAUCACUGCAGAAAGAUUGGAAAAGCAAGGAACUACAAAAGGCAAGCAGAACCGAAACGAAAGUUCCAAUACGACUCGAGCAGAGCCCUCUGCAUCAAAACCGGGUCCUAGUGACCAUAGAAUUAGUAACAUCACAGAGAAACCUAGCGCGGGUCUGGCAAGAGGACGCUACCGCAAUCCACGGCCGAGCUCGUCUAAAGGAAGAUAUCCACAUCCGUCUUUUUACUAAUACAUUUAUGACUUAGUUUGGAACUGCGGACUUAUAUUUAGCUAGACACCGCGAAAAAUUUGUGCAAAGAGACUGUUC
rnacentral:lncRNA from 1 species